GACGAACGCUGGCGGCGUGCCUAAUACAUGCAAGUUGAGCGCUGAAGGUUGGUACUUGUACCAACUGGAUGAGCAGCGAACGGGUGAGUAACGCGUGGGGAAUCUGCCUUUGAGCGGGGGACAACAUUUGGAAACGAAUGCUAAUACCGCAUAAAAACUUUAAACACAAGUUUUAAGUUUGAAAGAUGCAAUUGCAUCACUCAAAGAUGAUCCCGCGUUGUAUUAGCUAGUUGGUGAGGUAAAGGCUCACCAAGGCGAUGAUACAUAGCCGACCUGAGAGGGUGAUCGGCCCAAUUGGGACUGAGACACGGCCCAAACGCCUAAGGGGGGCAGAAGUAGGGAAGCUUCGGAAAUGGAUGAAAGUCUGACCGAGAAACGCCGCGGGAGUGAAGAAGGUUUUCGGAUCGUAAAACUCUGUUGGGAGAGAAGAACGUGGGUGAGAGUGGAAAGCUCAUCAAGUGACGGUAACUACACAGAAAGGAACGGCUAACUACGUG
rnacentral:rRNA from 1 species